rnacentral:rRNA from 1 species
UACGUAGGGGGCAAGCGUUGUCCGGAAUCAUUGGGCGUAAAGAGCGUGUAGGCGGUUCAGUAAGUCUGCUGUGAAAGUCCAAGGCUCAACCUUGGGAUGCCGGUGGAUACUGCUGAGCUAGAGUACGGAAGAGGCGAGUGGAAUUCCUGGUGUAGCGGUGGAAUGCGCAGAUAUCAGGAGGAACACCAAUAGCGAAGGCAGCUCGCUGGGACGUUACUGACACUGAGGCGCGAAAGCGUGGGGAGCGAACAGG